rnacentral:rRNA from 1 species
AGCAGCCGCGGUAAUUCCAGCUCCAAUAGCGUAUAUUAAAGUUGUUGCAGUUAAAAAGCUCGUAGUUGAAUUUCGGGGUCAGUAGGUUGGUCGUGCCACUGGUAUGUACUGGCCUCACUGAUUCCUCCUUCUUGUAGAACCGUAAUGCCAUUAAUUUGGUGUUGCGGGGAAACAGGACUGUUACUUUGAAAAAAUUAGAGUGUUUAAAGCAGGCUAACGCUUGAAUACAUUAGCAUGGAAUAAUGAAAUAGGACGUUCGAUCCUAUUUUGUUGGUUUCUAGGAUUGACGUAAUGAUUAAUAGGGAUAGUUGGGGGCAUUAGUAUUCAAUUGUCAGAGGUGAAAUUCUUGGAUUUAUUGAAGACUAACUACUGCGAAAGCAUUUGCCAAGGAUGUUUUCAUUAAUCAAGAACGAAAGUUAGGGGAAUCGAAGACGAUCAGAUACCGUCGUAGUCUUAACCAUAAACUAUGCCGACUAGGGAUCGGAUGAUGUAAUUUUUAAUGACUCAUUCGGCGCCUUAC